AACGAACGCUGGCGGCAGGCUUAACACAUGCAAGUCGAACGGGCGUAGCAAUACGUCAGUGGCGGACGGGUGAGUAACACGUGGGAAUAUGCCUUUCGGUUCGGAACAACUCGGGGAAACCCGUGCUAAUUCCGGAUACGCCCUUACGGGAAAGAUUAUCGCCGAAAGAUUAGCCCGCGUUGGAUUAGCUAGUUGGUGAGGUAAAGGCUCACCAAGGCGACGAUCCAUAGCUGGUUUGAGAGAACGACCAGCCACACUGGGACUGAGACACGGCCCAGACUCCUACGGGAGGCAGCAGUGGGGAAUCUUGGACAAUGGGCGCAAGCCUGAUCCAGCCAUGCCGCGUGAGUGAUGAAGGCCUUC
rnacentral:rRNA from 1 species